rnacentral:rRNA from 1 species
AGUGAACGCUGGCGGUAGGCCUAACACAUGCAAGUCGAACGGCAGCACAGUAAGAGCUUGCUCUUACGGGUGGCGAGUGGCGGACGGGUGAGGAAUACAUCGGAAUCUACUUUUUCGUGGGGGAUAAUGUAGGGAAACUUACGCUAAUACCGCAUACGACCUACGGGUGAAAGCAGGGGAUCUUCGGACCUUGCGCGAUUGAAUGAGCCGAUGUCGGAUUAGCUAGUUGGCGGGGUAAAGGCCCACCAAGGCGACGAUCCGUAGCUGGUCUGAGAGGAUGAUCAGCCACACUGGAACUGAGACACGGUCCAGACUCCUACGGGAGGCAGCAGUGGGGAAUAUUGGACAAUGGGCGCAAGCCUGAUCCAGCCAUACCGCGUGAGUGAAGAAGGCCUUCGGGUUGUAAAGCCCUUUUGUUGGGAAAGAAAAGCAGCAGGUUAAUACCCCGCUGUUCUGACGGUACCCAAAGAAUAAGCACCGGCUAACUUCGUG